GACGAACCGUGCGACCGUUGUUCGGAAUCACUGGGCUUAAAGGGCGCGUAGGCGGGCAGGCAAGUCAGGGGUGAAAGCCCACGGCUCAACCGUGGAAGUGCCUUUGAUACUGCCGGCCUGGAGGGAGGUAGGGGCGUGCGGAACUUCCGGUGGAGCGGUGAAAUGCGUAGAUAUCGGAAGGAACACCGGUGGCGAAAGCGGCGCGCUGGACCUCUUCUGACGCUGAGGCGCGAAAGCCAGGGGAGCAAACGGG
rnacentral:rRNA from 1 species